CUUGGGGGGAGGGGGGUUCCUCAGCCUGGAUUGUGAGAGGGUGCAGGCCAAGCUGAGGGACCCCACCUGUGUACA
rnacentral:pre_miRNA from 1 species